UGGGGAAUAUUGCACAAUGGGGGAAACCCUGAUGCAGCGACGCCGCGUGAGCGAAGAAGGUUUUCGAAUCGUAAAGCUCUGUCCUAUGGGAAGAUAAUGACGGUACCAUAGGAGGAAGCCCCGGCUAACUACGUGCCAGCAGCCGCGGUAAUACGUAGGGGGCAAGCGUUGUCCGGAAUCACUGGGCGUAAAGGGUUCGCAGGCGGAAAUCCAAGUCAGUUGUGAAAGGCAGAGGCUCAACCUCUGUAAGCAAUUGAAACUGUAGUUCUUGAGAUGUGGAGAGGAAAGUGGAAUUCCUAGUGUAGCGGUGAAAUGCGUAGAUAUUAGGAAGAAUACCGGUGGCGAAGGCGACUUGCUGGACACAAACUGACGCUGAGGAACGAAAGCGUGGGUAGCAAACAGG
rnacentral:rRNA from 1 species